AGUGAACGCUGGCGGCGGGCCUAAUACAUGCAAGUCGAGCGGAAACACGAUAAGCUCUUGCCUCUACCGUUAGCGGCUGACGGAUGAGUAACAAAUAGAUAAGCUACCUCUAUGACUUGGAGGACUACGUGGAGCCACUGAUGCUAACAGCUCAUAUGUUCUACCGCUUAAUUCAAUAGUUCAAGACACCUUUGCUGUCUCUAAUAGAUGAUUUCGCGACGGAUUAGCUAGUUGGUAAGGUAACGGCCUACCAAGGCAACGAUGCGUAGCCGACCUGAGAGGGUGAUCAGCCACACUGGAACUGAGACACGGUCCAGACUCCUACGGGAGGCAGCAGUGGGGAAUAUUCCGCAAUGGGCGAAAGCCUGACGCAGCCAUGCCGCGUGAGUGAAGAAGGUCUUCGGAUUGUAAAACUCUGUUAUUAGGGAAGAAAAGCAGCGGAAGUAUCUACGGCCGUCUUGACGGUACCCAAAGAGAAAGCCACGGCUAACUUCGUG
rnacentral:rRNA from 1 species